AUGGACCGAUCACUCGAUCAGUCAGUUUUCCUUCUGUUUUUUUUUCUCGCCGUCCUGUUGCAUGCCACGGCAGCAGCACCGGAGGGCAAUCAGGCGGCAACAGCCAACGGCUUUUGUAUAACUGAGGGAAUUAAUUUCAUGAAAAUCGACCAGCCAAAGCUCCAAGAAUACGCGGACGAGGUGGCUCGGGUCGGCGUCGGCGCCGUCCAGCGCGGGCCACGGGCCCGCUUCCAAAGCCAUGUCACCUUCUCGCCGCUGCAGCAUGGGAGGACGGCUGGUUCACGUGACCCUCCAGCUGGGGGAUCCAUGGUGGCUGACCGUCGAGCUCAAGGCAGAGAAGUUGAGAGCAGCAAUGGCGAGAUCCAUGCCAGCCAACCGGGCAAAGAGGAGGUCGUCGGGGAGGGACACAUCGGCAAGAUCCGGUCACCACGCGACCUGAAGAGAAACUCCUCAUGCUCGCCUCAAUCUCGGCGACACACCCUUAGUGUAGGAGGCAGCAACGACCUCGAUGAAAUCAUGGCCUCCAUCCCGGAACGCAUGAAGGACCUCGACCCCGUCGCUACUCCUCCCGCCUUAGCCGCACGCGGCAGCGGACCGUGGGUAGGAGGGCAGGCGGCGUCGCCUCGGCUGACGGCAGGGAGCAGCAUUGAUUUCGGAGAUACUGCAACAGUUUACGAAUUCCGAUGCACCACCCACCGUUUGCCCGCUCUGCUUGAUUCAUUCAGCAGAUUCAGAUAUCGAUCUCUGAUCUCUGUGUUGACCACGCCCACCCCUUCCUUCCCACAUCCCGCCUCUUUGGUCUAUACCGUGUCUCUCCCUCUCUCUCCAAUCUCCGUGUGUGAGUAUUACCAGGCCUCACCGGACAUUCGCAGCUCCACCCUCGCGGCUGCACGCCUUGGCCUCCGCCGCCGCCCAGGUCACAGGAACACGCAGGAAAGUAGCAGCAGCCCUAGGCCCAACAGCCGCCAAAGAAAACACAACACACGGAGAAGUCUGGUACAUGGCACCCACGCCAGUACACGACACGCAGGCCGGAAGAAGAAUCCCCCAACUGGAGGACGCCAAGCAGACAGCCAAAAGACCUUAGUCACCCCGCGUUUGUCUGCAAAGAAGAGACGCCGUCGCCCAAAUUUUGGAGGGACCAGCAAAGCGCUUCCAAGCCCACCCAAAAGAGACGCCGAGAGACGCCCGAAAGGUCAUGGGCCAAAGCCCGCAGCUCCGCAAAGCUACAAUGGUUGUCUUUCCUUCCCCCUCCUCCCCCCUCCCCUCUCCUCGUCCCCCUCUGUCCCCUCCCCUGCCGGUGGCCUUGGCCCCCUCGGCCCUCCCUCUUCCCCGCCCCCAUGCCUGCCCUUGGUGGCGCGGGCCUGUGGCCCCUGCUCUGGGCAUUCGCCGUCCCCCUCUCUGGCUCCCUUGGCGUCGGCGCCCUUCCUUGGCUCGCGGUUUUGGGCGCUCGGCGAUUUGAAGGAUUCGGCCUCUGAAUCCGACUCGGAGGGGUGCGCCCCGCCGUUGGGGGUGCCGGUGGUGGUUCCGGGGCCUGUGGCUGGUCGUUCCCGGAAGUUUGCUCCGGGUGGUCGGGGCAGGCCGGUGGCGCUGCCGUCGGGGUCUCCUGGUUGGUCGCGUGUUGGGCGCCGCCGUCGCAUGGUGGGUGUGGAUCUGACCUCCUCUCAGGUAUGUGUUCCCCUUCGUCCUCCCCGGUCUGCUGUGGCUCCUGAUCUGGGUGGGUUGGCUUCCCCUGUCGUUUCUCCUCCCUGCUCUCCUGCUCCCCGGCCGGGGCGGUCGUCGGCGGCGGCGGGGGCUGUUGGUGGCCUAACCCUAGAUCCGGGUGGCUCGGAGGGCCUUGCUGGGCCUGUGGGCCUGGCGGCCUCUGCUGGGGUUUGGCCCGAUCCGCCCGCUCCUCCGGCCCUGUCAUCUUUUUCUGCUUUCCCUCCCCUUCUGUCUGUGGGCCCGGGGCAAGUGGGCGCGUCGUCCCAUCCGCCACUUCUCCAGAUCCACUUCUUCCCCACCCCCCUUGUCCUCUCCUUCGCUGACGCGCUCGCCAUGGACAAGUCGAGGGCUUCCUCCUCCGAGGCCUUGUCGGGGAGCAAGAGGGCUAGGGAGUCCUUGCCGGGCUCUGGUGCAGAUCUAGCCUUUGAGGCUGAGCUUCGUUCUAAGUUGGUGGCUGACCGGGCGGCGCGCGGGCCUGUGCUUGCGGGGGAGGAAUGGGAGGCGGGGUCGGACCGCUCCGUGGCCAGAUCUGGGACGGCGCUCCCUGGAUCUGGUGCUGGGUCGAGGUCGGAUCCGUGGGAGGCUGUCGCGGCUUCGGCGGCUGGUGGCUCUUCUUCUUCGGCGCCUCGCCCCGUCCAGGCCGGGGGGGCCGGUCCCUCCGCCUCGGCCUCCUCCCCGCUCCUUCGGGGCCGGCGCGGCCUCCCGCUCUGGGCAACGCUUUGGCCCUGGGUCGUCCUCUUCGUUGGCUGGGGAGCGGAGGCCUCCUCCUCCUGGUCCGAGCGCGCCCUCGGGGGUUCGUGGCGACGACAUCUUGCCGCCGCCACAUCCUCCAGCUCCUGCUCCUCGCCAUCACCUGUCCCCUCGGGCCCUUCUCCGACCCUCAUCUGCUUUGCUUGUCACCGCCUGAACCACUUCCAAUCGAGGUGCACUUAUCCCCCCUUCUGUCUCAUCUGCCGAUCCGAUGGCCACCUGACGAUGGAUUGCCGCAAUCGCACCAAGGGUCCCUCCUUUGUGCACUUUGGGUUGGGUCUGCCUGGUUGCUCCUUUUUCGCUCUGGACGUUGAGGUCCCUCUCGUGAUGGCUGCACCUUCCCUCUCCAAUGCGGCUAUUAUCACACUUGUAGUUUCUGUCAAAGCGGCUACUUGUGGUGCGAAGGUGGUGGGUCCUCUCAGCAAGACUUGGGUUUUGGUUGAUGAUGUGCCUGUUGGCCUUCGGUCAGUGGAAUUCAUGAUGGCUUUUGGUAACCUCAUUGGCAAACCUGUGGAAGUGGACUUGGAAUCUCUCGAGAAGGUUGGCCCGGUUCGUCUCAGCGUGUGGUGCAUUGACCCGGCCUCUGUUCUUGGCUCUGUGGAUGUCUUUCCUUCCCAUGAAGAUGACACGCAGGGGGAUGGUUCAGCUGGGGGGCAGAAGCCCAAUGGGGGUUCGGAUUUGCGCUUCACUCAAUCAGAAUGGGACAAGAUGGACUCUGAUGACUGUGAGAAUCUCAAGGAGAACGCCCUGACCCCUAAACCCCAGAAGGUGAAUCCACAAGAGGGGGUGGUUGGCAAGGGGACCCCCAUCUCCUGUGCUUGUUCUAAUGUGCCUAUUCGCCCGCAGUCACCCUCCUUCUCUGGCAUUGAGGAUCUCCCUGCUUCUCCUAGGCGCUCCUCUGACUUUCCCACCAAGAAGAAGAAGAAGGUCUCGGUUCGGAAGUUUUCUGCUAAGAGUCGGGCUUCAUCCACCUCCAAGGCCUCCAAGGUUUCUGCUGCAGGGUUGGCUCGUCGUCUGGACCAGGACCUUGGUGCUACAUCGGGGUCUGGUCCUGGCUCGGCGACGCCGGCGAGGGGCUCGCCGGUGUUCCAUUCUCCUGCGUGUACGGCGCGGAAGGGUCGGCAUGUGCGGGAUUCCGGUGUUUCGGUGGCGGAGUGUGCGGAACAUCGCACUGCGGCUAGAGAUCUCCCUCCUGCAGGUUCGUCUCCUCCUCCCCAUGCUCUCCCUUCUUCCCCAGUUCGCCUAAUUUUACCUGCUAUAUUAGAUGAUCAUUUGCUGCAUAUUACGUCGGAUAUUGGGGUGGUUGACAACCCGGGGAUGGGCGCUUCCUCUCAUCUCCUCUCUAUCAUUCGUGCGAAUGAGGGGCGCCGCGACCAGAUUCAUGACGUGGUGUGUGGGGAUCACAUUGACAUUUUAGGUUUGGUUGAAACUUUCAAGGAAUCCUUCUCUCCAUCUGAAUUAUCUGCGAUCGCUGGGAUGGGUAGAUAUGACUGGCACUUUCUGCCUGCUUCGGGUCACUCUGGUGGUAUCUUGAUUGGCUCCAAGCGGGACAUCUUUGACUUCAUUACUUUUGAUCAUGGUAUUUUUUGGGCUAGCUGCGUAGUUCAUCAUCGCCAACUAAAUUUGAUGUGGGAAUUCAUGGUGGUGUAUGGGCCUGCGGAUCAUUUGCUUUCCCCUCUUUUUUUGGAUGAAAUCUCGAGCAAGAUUGAGACUUGCAAUAUUCCUCUUCUUAUUGGGGGAGACUUUAACCUGACUCGCUCGCCGGCCGACAAGAACAACUCUAACUUCUCGUGGCCUCUCGCCAAUGCUUUUAACGAUUUCAUUAGUAGUUGCGCACUUCGCGAGCUUCCUAGGGUGGGGGCUCGUUUCACCUGGUCUAACCAUCAAGCCUCCCCGGUCGGGUCGGUGCUGGAGAGGGUUUUUGUGUCUGUUCGGUGGGAUUUGAUUUUUCCUCGUGCUCUGCUUAAAGCCAGGCCUGCGGUUGGGUCUGACCAUGUUCCCCUUGUCCUUGACGCGGGUAUUUUACCGAUCGCCACGACCUCCCGCUUCCAGUUUGAUUCCUCUUGGCUUUUGAUUGAGGGCUUUUAUGAUAUGCUUGGGUCUAGGAUUGCUACUUUUCUUUCUUCUACUCUCCGCUCCUUUGGUCCUCUUGAUGACUGGCAUAAACUCUCCUACAAGCUUCGCAAAUUCCUUAAAGGGUGGUCUAGAAACAGGGCGGCUGAGGCCCGUAAAGAAAAGGACUCCUUAGACUCUCAAAUCCGGGAUCUUGAUCUUAUGGCCGACUCCCGUGGUCUCUCCUCCUCUCAAUGGGCCAUGCGGUACGCCUUGGAAGAUGCCUUAAUGGUGCUGCACCACCAGUCGGAAGUUUAUUGGUGCCAGCGUGGGAACCUUAAUUGGACCUUGAAGGGGGAUGCGAUGACGGCGUAUUUCUUUGCGAUCGCCAAUGGCAGGCGUCACAGAUGCUUCAUUGACUCCCUAGUUAUUAAUGGCGUUAGAACCUCGGACCAACCCACCAUUAUGGCCCACAUUGUGGGUUUCUUCUCUAAUCUGCUUAGCUCUAAGCCUGACCUGGGGGUUGGCCUCUGUCCUGGAUUCUGGGACUCUAAUUCUAGGAUCUCUCCUGAUGAAAACAUGCGUCUUAUGGUCCCCCUUUCUGACGAGGAGAUCUGGCAGAUUAUGAGUGCGGAGGAACAAUCCUUGUGGUUGGACAUCCUGAAAGCUAAAUAUUUCCCGUCCUGCAGCCCAAUGUUUGCCAUAUCGCGUGAUGGCUCACAGAUCUGGAAGCCGUUGGUCAAAGUUAGGCCUAUUUUUCAAUUAUUCGUUAAGUUUGUCGUUGGGGACGGUGCUUCGAUCAAGUUUUGGUUAGAUUGGUGGUGUGGAGAUUCACCACUCUCGGUGACCUUUCCCACCCUGUUUUCUUAUUGUUCAGACCCUGCCAUUUCUAUUGCUAAGUUAGCUUCCCAGGGGUGGAACCUGAUCUUCCGGCGUUCCUUGUCGCCUGUAGAGUUCGAAGAGUGGCAACGUCUUACUGCCCUCUUCCCUUCGCUCUCAACGGCUAGGGACUCGGGGAUCUGGCCGCUAUCUUCCUCUGGUCGGUUCUCGGUUAAAUCUCUUUAUUCCAAGCUCGUUGGGGGUACGCCCACUAAUCGCUUCUCCCAGUGCCGUGGCCGUCGCCGUCUUCACUGGCCGCCGGUGUCGUCGUCGUCACUGACGAGGUCGACGUACUCCGGCGGCGUCCAGAGGUGGGGCGGCGGUGCGUGGUGGACGGGGGUGGGCUGGACGACCAGAGGUGCCUGCACCACCUCCUCCCGCGGCGACGCCUCCCGCAACGGUGACCGCGGCGGAGUGAGGCACCAGUUCACGCCUAGGCCGGCGGCCAUCUCCGGUGCAGUGCAGGACCAGCCCCACCCCUGGCCCACCAGCUGCUCGAAUGCGGGUGGGUCCUCCUCCUACGACUCCCCCGUGACGGCCGCCAGCUGCAGCUCCGGGAACGCGAUGUCCCCGGCGGCAGAGAGGGCGAUGGCCUCCUCCAGGCCGUCCCACUGCCGCUCGUCGUGCGUGUUCAGGGAGUCGUCCAUGACACGCUGCAGGAGACGAGCCUCCUCCUCCGCUGUCAUGCGAGGAGGGGAGGUGGCGACGGAGACGGGGAAGGCGACGGCGUGGGCGUCAGGCCGCGCACUCGCGUACGCCCGCGCGCCUCUGCACAUGGCCGCUGCGGCCCCGACACGGUGCCGGCGAAGUAGGACGCGCGGCGCGUGUCGUGCUCGUCCUGGAGCCAUGUGUCCCACAACGGGGAGUCGAGGGCAUACAUGUAGUCGUAGUACAGGUCGUCGGGGAGGAGGCGGUGGCGGCGGUUGA
rnacentral:rRNA from 1 species